AUCCAUCUGAAGAGUCCGAAGUAGGACGAAAAAUGCGUCCUGGAU
rnacentral:hammerhead_ribozyme from 1 species